rnacentral:rRNA from 1 species
GAAGAAAGCUGGCGGCGUGCUUAACACAUGCAAGUCGAACGGAAAGGCCCUGCUUUUGUGGGGUGCUCGAGUGGCGAACGGGUGAGUAACACGUGAGUAACCUGCCCUUGACUUUGGGAUAACUUCAGGAAACUGGGGCUAAUACCGGAUAGGAGCUCCUGCUGCAUGGUGGGGGUUGGAAAGUUUCGGCGGUUGGGGAUGGACUCGCGGCUUAUCAGCUUGUUGGUGGGGUAGUGGCUUACCAAGGCUUUGACGGGUAGCCGGCCUGAGAGGGUGACCGGCCACAUUGGGACUGAGAUACGGCCAAGACUCCUACGGGAGGCAGCAGUGGGGAAUAUUGCACAAUGGGCGGAAGCCUGAUGCAGCAACGCCGCGUGCGGGAUGACGGCCUUCGGGUUGUAAACCGCGUUCGCCUGUGACGAAGAGUGAGUGACGGUAAUGGGUAAAGAAGCACCGGCUAACUACGUG